rnacentral:rRNA from 1 species
UUGAACGCUGGCGGCAUGCCUUACACAUGCAAGUCGAACGGUAACGCGGGGCAACCUGGCGACGAGUGGCGAACGGGUGAGUAAUGCAUCGGAACGUGCCCAGUAGUGGGGGAUAGCCCGGCGAAAGCCGGAUUAAUACCGCAUACGACCUAUGGGUGAAAGUGGGGGACCGUAAGGCCUCGCGCUAUUGGUGCGGCCGAUGUCAGAUUAGGUUGUUGGUGGGGUAAAAGCCUACCAAGCCGACGAUCUGUAGCUGGUCUGAGAGGACGACCAGCCACACUGGGACUGAGACACGGCCCAGACUCCUACGGGAGGCAGCAGUGGGGAAUUUUGGACAAUGGGCGAAAGCCUGAUCCAGCAAUGCCGCGUGCGGGAAGAAGGCCUUCGGGUUGUAAACCGCUUUUGUCAGGGAAGAAACGCUCUGAGCUAAUACCUCGGGGUAAUGACGGUACCUGAAGAAUAAGCACCGGCUAACUACGU